rnacentral:lncRNA from 1 species
UGCCGCUUCUGCGCAUGCGCAUGUCGGGCACCCUCGCCUCCCAGGCUGCGCCUGCACUUUUUGCGCAUGCGCCGUCGGGUUUGCUUCGCGCAUCCCGCGCGUGCGCCUUGUGCGUCAAUCGUGCUUUCGCGCAUGCGCACUGAGCCAUUUCAUAGCCGCCCAAGCGUCUUCAUCUCACAUCCGCGCAUGCGCCUUGUCUCCCCGGAAGCCUCCGCGCAUGCGCCUUGCGUCUCCACCGCGUCUCCGCGCAUGCGCCUUGUGCCCCCUCCAUUACGAAGCAGCCCAACAAUUUUGGGGGGGGGCGGGGAAGAAAGGGUGACAUAAAUGAAUUUAUUAAUUGAUUUUGCUUUAAUUAAUUCUUUUGUAUUAAUUAACCCCCCCCCAAUCCCAAGCCCCAACCUUACAACCUCUAUGGGGUCGCAGCCCCCAGACCCUAUAAGGUCAAGGGGUCGUGACCCCUGGGGGUCAAAGGUCACGGGGUCAGCCCCUCUGGGGGUCAAAGGCCGUUUCCAAGGGGUCAGGGGUCAGUCCUAUGGGGGUCAAAGGUCAGCCCCAAUGGGUGUCACGGGGUCAGCCCCUAUAUAGGGUCAGGGGUCAGUCUUACGGGGCCGCAGCCCCCAAACCCUAUGAGGUCAAGGGGCGGCGGAACCUGGGGGGGUCAAAGGUCACAGGUGUGGGGUCAAAGGUCAGCCCCACACAGCACUCAGGCUCACGGUGUCAACCCUAUGGGGUCAGGGGUCAGCCCUACAGGGUCACAGCCCCCAGACCCUGUAAGGUCAAGGCUCGUCCGCCCUUGGGGGGGGUCAUAGGUCACGGGUGUGGGGUCAAAGGUCAGCCCCACACAGCACUCAGGCUCACGGUGUCAACCCUACUCGAGGAAGAUGAAGGUGAGGACGGUGUGGGGCCCCAGGCGGGCGUAGUACGGGGUGAAGCCCUUCCACAGGCUGAAGAAACCCUCGUGCCGAAUCACCUUCAGCAGCACGUCCUGAAGGGGUCAAAGGUCACGGGGUCACCGGGGUCAGAGGUCGCAGGGGGGGAGGGGUCGAGGGGUCAUGCGGUCCAGGGGGCUGAGGGUCGCGGGGUCAAUGGGGCACGGGUU